AAAAAAAAUAAAAAUGGGUGAGCGUCUUUAAUGACCAGACGACACGGUUUCUAAUCUAGUUUAGAUGGAUUAUCAUAAUUUGGUCCUGUUUUCAAUCUAAUUAUGCUAUUGUUCCCGUAGGGAUCAUAUGAACAAUAUCUUAGUUCGAUGAUUUGCAGUCUAGAUGAAUGAGCAUCAUUCCUCUCUUGUCAUGAUGACAUUGUCGUAUAAUUAUAAAAUAAACUUCAUGCAAUUGGAUUUUUGUAUGUAUAAGAAAUAAUGCGUGAUUCUAUAUCUAAACAAAUAGGAGGUGC
rnacentral:lncRNA from 1 species